rnacentral:rRNA from 1 species
GGCAGACGGCUGAGUAACACGUGGGAAUCUACCCUUUACUCUGGCAUAACCCAUCGAAAGAUGGAAUAAUUCCAGAUACACUCUUCGGAGGAAAGCUUUUGCGGUAUAGGAUGAGCCCACGGCCUAUCAGGUUGUUGGUAAGGUAAUGGCUUACCAAGCCUAUGACGGGUAGCUGGUCUGAGAGGAUGAUCAGCCAGACUGGGACUGCGACACGGCCCAGACUCCUACGGGAGGCAGCAACUAGGAAUUGAGCGCAAUGGACGAAAGUCUGACGCCGCGUCACCGCGUGCAGGAUGAAGGCCCUAGGGUCGUAAACUGCUUCUAUAGAGGAGCAAGUUCUGAGAGUACUCUAUGAAUAAGUGCCUGCUAACCACGUGCCAGAAGCAUCGGUAAUACGUGGGGCACAAGCGUUAUCCGGAAUCACUGGGCGUAAAGAGAGCGUAGGCGUCCUUGCAAGUUUGAUGUUAAAUCCCAACGCUCAACGUUGGAACUGCAUUGAAAACUGUAAGGAUUGAGUUAGGUAGAGAAGAGGGGAAUUCCCGGUGGAGCGGUUAAAUGCGUUGAUAUCGGGAGGAACACCAAUUGCGAAGGCACCUCUUUGGACCUAUACUGACGCUCAGGCUCGAAAGCGUGGGGAGCAAAACGGAUUAGAUACCCGUGUAGUCCACGCUGUAAACGUUCCCUGUUAGAUGUUUGG